rnacentral:rRNA from 1 species
GGUUAAGCGACUAAGCGUACACGGUGGAUGCCCUGGCAGUCAGAGGCGAUGAAGGACGUGCUAAUCUGCGAUAAGCGUCGGUAAGGUGAUAUGAACCGUUAUAACCGGCGAUUUCCGAAUGGGGAAACCCAGUGUGAUUCGUCACACUAUCAUUAACUGAAUCCAUAGGUUAAUGAGGCGAACCGGGGGAACUGAAACAUCUAAGUACCCCGAGGAAAAGAAAUCAACCGAGAUUCCCCCAGUAGCGGCGAGCGAACGGGGAGCAGCCCAGAGCCUGAAUCAGUGUGUGUGUUAGUGGAAGCGUCUGGAAAGGCGCGCGAUACAGGGUGAC